CCCACAGUCAUACUCCUUUCAGUGCCAAAGGGCCGAUUCAUCGGCCGAUUGAAAUGAUGUUAUGAACUACGUAAUGUACUAUGACGUCGCCGUUUUUGUGAUAAAUUCAAUUCCUCCGUCUUGAAAUAUUCGCGCGUUUUUUCCAAGAUUAAAGAUAUGAAAGGGGAGCUUUGUUAUGAAAUUUACGAAAAUAAAAUUAUGAAAGG
rnacentral:lncRNA from 1 species